GCCCUUUUCCGGUUGAUCCUGCCGGAGGUCACUGCUAUCGGUGUUCGACUAAGCCAUGCGAGUCAAAUGUUCUUCGUGAACAUGGCGUACUGCUCAGUAACACGUGGAUAACCUGCCCUUAGGUCUGGCAUAACCCCGGGAAACUGGGGAUAAUUCCGGAUAGAUUAUAGAUGCUGGAAUGCCCUGUAAUCCAAAGCUAUUGUGCCUAAGGAUGGGUCUGCGGUCUAUCAGGUUGUAGUGGGUGUAAUGUACCUACUAGCCUACGACGGAUACGGGUUGUGGGAGCAAGAGCCCGGAGAUGGAUUCUGAGACAUGAAUCCAGGCCCUACGGGGCGCAGCAGGCGCGAAAACUUUACAAUGCGGGAAACCGCGAUAAGGGGACACCGAGUGCCAGCAUCCUAUGUUGGCUGUCCAUAUGUAUAAAUCACAUGUGUUAGCAAGGGUCGGGCAAGACCGGUGCCAGCCGCCGCGGUAACACCGGCGGCCCGAGUGGUGGCCACUAUUAUUGGGUCUAAAGGGUCCGUAGCCGGUUUGGUCAGUCUUCCGGGAAAUCUGACGGCUCAACCGU
rnacentral:rRNA from 1 species